UAAGACGGAGGGCGCAAGCGUUGUUCGGAAUUACUGGGCGUAAAGCGCGGGCAGGUGGUCCGUUAAGUCGUCUGUGAAAAUCCGGGGCUCAACCCCGUGAAAUGCAGGCGAUACUGGCGGACUGGAGAUCGGUAGAGGCUGACGGAAUUCCUGGUGUUGCGGUGGAAUGCGUAGAUAUCAGGAAGAACACCAGUGGCGAAGGCGGUUAGCUGGGCCGAGUCUGACACUCAUCCGCGAAAGCGUGGGGAGCAAACAGGAUUAGAUACCCUGGUAGUCCACGCCGUAAACGAUGGGCACUAGGUGCCGGGCCUCUAGACGGGGUCGGUGCCGUAGUUAACGCAUUAAGUGCCCCGCCUGGGGAGUACGGUCGCAAGGCUG
rnacentral:rRNA from 1 species